GAGAAUGUGAGCUAAUGAAAGUGUAAAGCCUGUGUUCACUAGAGUAUAAAAUUCACAUUUGGCCAGUACUGGCUGUGCAAUCUGAUAUUAUGAGCCCUGCUGCUGAGAGAGCAGGGGGUUGGAAAUGGCAAAAAAAGAGAGAAAAAAAUUCCAACAAGAGAGAGACACACUACGCCAGAGCACAUUUUGUGAAAUGAUUUUGUUGUAAUCAGUCUGGUUAAGUUGUUGCUAUCGUAAUUUUAACAUUAUCGUGUAAUAAGUAUGGCGAAAAGUCCAACUUCCUGGGGAAAAAAAAGGUCUGGAAUUAACAAAAAAAAAAAGUCGCAGCCGGAAAAGAAAUGUCAUCCUGGUAGCGUUAUUCAAAGAAAAGUGCAAGAGAUUAACCAAAUGCAAGACUCCAAGUAAAGGUGUUUUCUGUGAGGUUGUCGCUCAGGGCUGGAGUGGAAAGUCAAAGAGAGGUCACGGUGAUGAAGAUGGCCAGAAAGAGAGAAGUUGUGUUCAACACGACCGCAGAGGGGAAAGAUCCCACUCCACUGCAGAGAAAUCAAACUCACCUCUGGAUGUAUUUUUGUAACAUUGCUGCAGUGGGUUUUGGGAGGACUUAAAAGGGAUGUGUGGAAAGAAGGUAAUGCACAUUCAGAGUGCGAUGCGUGUUGCAUUUCAGCUGCCAGACAGCCGCUCAGCCCUUUUUCCAUCCCAGAUUUAGGUCGAACGGCUACAGAAGUGUUUUUCUCCGAAACUCUGCCUCCAGGUUCUUUUCCCAUCCCCGGCCUCGUUCAGGGAGACCUUCACACUCCAUAUCCAUGUUCCCCUCCGGCCCUUAACCUUGUUUUGGACGAAAUCAAAGACUCUACAGGUCUUUGGUCGGAUGGCAGAUGGAGGCAUCGGUACAAGCAUCUCAUAAAUAAAUUAUGCCAUGAAACAUCGAUUGCACGUCUUUUUAAACGGUUCAAGAAACAGUAAAAUGGAAAGAUUUAAAUUUGUGACAGUGAAUCCAGUCAAGCCAGGAAUAGAACAACUCAGAGAACAUGCAGAGAUGCCUGUUCUACAUCUUUUACUGAACAAGACUCUAAAAAUUAAAUGUUAAAUUUUAUUAAAACCAAGAUGCACACUGCAAAAACCAUCUAGAAAUAAUUAAACAUUUCUUAAAUUUUGUGUAUUUACCUUUAAUUUGAGUUGGUAAAAAAGAUUUGCCGAUGGAAUGAGUAUUUUCUACUGUUAAAAUAAGAUAAUUAGAUAUUUUGCUCUUGAUAUAAGAGAUUGUGGGGUUGUUUUUUUUAUUUUAUUGGCAAAAUGUCUCACUUACCUCCUCAAUUCAAGAGAAAAUGCACCUAUUUUAAGAAGAAAUUGCUUCUAUAUUGCCAGAAGUAUUUGCUCACCCAUCCAAAUUAUUGGAACCAGGUGUUCCAGUCACUUCCAUGGCCACAGAUGUAUAAAAUCAAGAACCUGGUCAUGCAGACUGUUGUUACAAACAUUUUUGAAAGAAAGGGUCACUCUGGAGCUCAGUGAAUUCCAGUGUGGAUAUGUGAUGGGAUGCCACCUCUGUUGUCUUAUAUCCUAAAUGUUGCACAAUCAACUGUCAGCGGUAUCAUCAGAAAGUUUUUGGGAAGGACAGCAACUAGGCCACAAAGUAUUAGGCCACAUAAACUGACAGGACAGGGUCAGUGGAUGCUUAAGCUAGUAGUGAGGUCACCAACUUUCUGCACUGCAAAAACCAUCUAGACUUAAGUAAAAAAAUUCUUAAACUGAGUAUAUUUGCCCUUAAUUUGAGUACAUAAAUAAGAUGAUUUGCCAAUGGAACUAGUAUUUGUACUCUUAAA